rnacentral:lncRNA from 1 species
AGGCUAUCUUCAAAAUUAAAAUUGAUAUAUUUUGACAUUCUGUUAAACACAGUCAACAUUAACUUGUUUUUCUAAUAUGUAUUUAUUUUAUUUAAUUCAAUCUGUUGUUUGGUUUCUUUACAUUGUCAACUGUAACGACAUUAUGAAACAUAAAUUAUCCCCUUUUCUCUUUAUUGACACAAAUGAACAACCUCAGCCUAAAAACUAUGAUAAAGGAGACCAUUUGGACUUUCCAAUACUUGUCCAUUCUGUACCUGCUCUAUGAUUGACAAUUAUAUGGUUGUUGUCGUUUAUUAAUUGGGUGCACUAAAAAUUAAAUUAUAUACCUAUAAGUAGUAGGGUGUGAUCAGUUUUAUGCACCUCAAAAAUGCAGGGCGAGAGGGCGCUGACGUCAUAUGCCCAUGCCCCGCCCCCAAUAUUAUAUAUGGGCAUAUACUAACCCUAAUGACGUCAGCGGAAGUAAGGAAGAUGAUUCAGGACGGAUGGACGCCGGUCAGAUUUGGUCAUGACGCAACCAUGAGUCAUCAGGAUCCAAGAUCGGGGCACGACUCACUACAUGAGUAAUCAGGAUGCAAGAUCAGGGCAUGACUCACUACAUGACAAUACCAUGAUGUACGUAUGAAAAUUCGAGAAGUAUUUUUUCUGUUCGUUAUGAUAUUUAUUUUUUAAUCUAAAUAGUCAGGGGAAAAAGUACUGUUCGAAGUUACACCCUUGUUUGUUUUCGUCGGAGGUAUUGCCCAGAGAUGACCUUUUACAGUGCAAU